GCGGUUACAAGGGUGUGGGAUUUAUAGGGUGUGCCCACGCGGCCAGGUUGGUUUUCACAAUGCAACUUGAGAGAAUGGCUACCGCCGCCGCGUGCUGGAGCAAGCUUGCGCGUUCUUCGAGCAUAAUCGUCUUGCUGGUGGUGGCGGCAUUGGCCAUGGCGCCGAUCGCCCAUCAAACUGAUGAUCAUACGACAAACAUGACAGAUCCAAGCCCUGAUUCCCAUCAUUCUAUGCCUGGCGCCGGGUCUAGUGGCGGUGGCGGUGGCGGUGCUCAUCAUUUCCCCCGUGGUCCUCCUUGUACAUCAUGUCCAUAUCCUGGUGCUUGUCCAUGGUGCCAUGUUAGAUGAAUGCUUCAGUAGCUGAAUCUAGAGCCAACCAGAGUCAAUAAUGCAGAAUCAAACACAUGUUCCACAAUAUAUAGCAAUAACUAUGCUUUUCCAUGAGAGCAAUGCUUCAUUCCAUAUUGGUCUUUACACUACUACAAAA